UGGAUCAAUGAUGACUGCCAGACAUGGUUGGUGAAUAAUAUGUGAUUGGAAUUCUGAGGUCCAA
rnacentral:snoRNA from 1 species